UGAUCUGCUGGGCUAUUAAAGCUGGGCACUUCCCCCUGAGACCAUGGCCGAGACCAAAGGAAACUUGAAGACCCUGGCGCGUGCUGUAGCGGGAGGGUCCUGUAAUCGUCACUGCGAUUCCGCUGCGCUUCGCCGUCGCCAGGACCUUGGUGUGCCCCAGGGAACCGCCUUGGCUUAUUCAUACUGGAUGUGAUGGUUGCGGUCGAGGUUGGUCGGGCAUAGCGGUGGAAUUGCUCAUCGGAGCAAUGGAUCCGCUGCGAUGCCGCUAUGCUACAUGAUUGUUAACCUCUGCGCUAUCCUUCUUGGUAAGAACGCCUCUGUAUGGCUCGCCUUCAUCUCCGCUCCAUCUACCGUCCUUUGGAUUUGGGGAUUUGCGCUCGGUUCGGUGGGCGGCCAUACGCCGGUAAUGGCGCCGUCGCGGGCUUGCUCACGUCGCCGUGCCGCCAUGGGCGGCUGUGUCACGCUGCGAGGGGGGAGUGGGAAAAAGGGAGAAACACAUGGCACGUAGAUUAGCCGAUGUGUGGUUGUGAUCGACUUGAGAUACCAGUUCGGCUGGAGCACGCUGGCGCGUCUGAUCUUGAUCCGAUAGGUGGCAGUGAUCUUAGACAUUUAGAACCUGUGCCAUCGGAUCCUUAGCCGAUGGUCGUAAUCCAAGCUGACCCAUAUCGGGUUAUGGCCGUGUGUGGGCCGUUGGUUUCUAAUCGUAUGGCCCACAUAGCAUACCGAUUGGGAUUAGGUCCCAACCAUUGAUCUGUCUACGCACGACCACGAUCACACGAUACCCCUUCGCCAUGGAAUUUUUGCUUAAGAGCCCUCAGACUUCUAGGAAGUAAACCCGCCAUCCACUAGAGAUCAAAGACUGUAACAUAAAGGUCCUGAACUUUAUGCUUUAAACCCCGAGCUUCGGGAAAAUUAUGGCUGCAGCCCAAAGGUCAAUAAAAUGGGUAAAUUAAUUUAGGAAAAGGAUUUUUAGUGCAAAAAUAAAUCUUGAAACUUGUUUAAUUCAUAUUUAACUCCAAAUUGAUCCAUUCCAAUUGCAUCAGAUCCAUAAUAAUAGUGUUCACCCCCUAGUAGCUUUAUUUUAUUAUGAAACAUAAAAUCAAAAUCAUGUACUUAAUUUCUUUUCUUCCGGACUCCUAGAUAUUUAGAAAAUCAUAUAUUUUAAAUCGUAACUCCGAAUUUAGUGAUUCUCGUUUCCACGAUCUCGUAGCAUCGCGUACAUUAUUAUUAUGCAGUUUGUACUCAUGUUUGGUGUGAUGUUAAUUUUUCCUAUACACUGUUUGUUUGUAAUGCUACGACUAGCGCGAGGUUACGAGUCACCUGAGGAGCAAGUUGGUACCUGGAACCUCAAGUCUCAGGCAAGUUGUGCCCUUGAUCACUUCUUUUUACCCAAUCAUGUUAUUAUUAAUCAUAAUGAUCUGCAUAGGUUAAUUUUGAUGGGACUCAAUAGGUUACCCUAGUUUGACUAUCUUUAUACCUUGUUUACCACUGAAUUUUUGGGUAGUACCUGCUAUUGCUUUAUCUGGUUUUGGGUAUAGAGAUACACAUUACUAUUCAUGGUUAUACUUUUAUUACCAGUUGUUAUUUACUAUUCAUGAUAAGAUCAUUAUGUUAAUUGGAACAUGCAGAACCACCCGGGAAAACAGUGCUACCACAAGGGUGGUAUGGGACGACCUUAGCUGACUAAUUAGGAAAGCUAGUGGAGGACUACCUUACCCGAAAGGGGCAAGGGCAGUAGGGAGUGGUCAGUGUAGGGAGGUCCUUGGGUGUUAAUUUUGCUGCGAUGACGGUCAGGCGAGGGAUCCCUGCAUUGGAGCUUCCUAGAAACUGUAGCAGGUUUUCUGAAGCUAGUGGAACUUUGUAAAGGCCUCGUAGUGUUACCCUGCCUCGCCUCCUCGAAAGAGGUGUAUGGAAAGUCGUGAUCUCUUGGCAGAUGGGUAACAUGACUUGUGGGUAAAGAUGCGCAACCUCUACAGAGUGUAAAACUAGUAUACUUGUCAUGCUCACGAUCAUGAGCAGCUCGGACACUCACAUGAUUAAUUUAUGGAACUAAAUUCAAUUUGGCAUAUGCAUUGCAUCGCAUGUGUUGUUAUUACUUUUGUUCUACUACUUAAUUGGGUUGGUAUUUACUUAUACUUAGUAAUUGCUAAUAAAAUUUUGACCAACUUUAAAAGCAAUGCUCAGCUUCAACCAUCCACUAUGGUAAGCCUUACACUUCAUGUGAGCUCCCACCUUUGGCGAGUUCAUGCACAUUAUUCCCCACAACUUGUUGAGCGAUGAACGUAUGUGAGCUCACUCUUGCUGUCUCACACCCCACAGGUUAAGAACAGGUACCACAUGAUGAGAUGCAUGGAGGAUGUUGUGACGAGUUCGUGAGAGGUCUAGGCUGUCGUCUCCCAGUCAAUUUGGGUUGCUGGAUUGUUGUCUCC
rnacentral:lncRNA from 1 species